AGUGGCGGACGGGUGAGUAACACGUGGGCAACCUGCCUCAUAGAGGGGAAUAGCCUCCCGAAAGGGAGAUUAAUACCGCAUAAGAUUGUAGCUUCGCAUGAAGUAGCAAUUAAAGGAGUAAUCCGCUAUGAGAUGGGCCCGCGGCGCAUUAGCUAGUUGGUGAGGUAACGGCUCACCAAGGCGACGAUGCGUAGCCGACCUGAGAGGGUGAUCGGCCACAUUGGGACUGAGACACGGUCCAGACUCCUACGGGAGGCAGCAGUGGGGAAUAUUGCACAAUGGGCGCAAGCCUGAUGCAGCCAUGCCGCGUGUAUGAAGAAGGCCUUCGGGUUGUAAAGUACUUUCAGCGGGGAGGAAGGGAGUAAAGUUAAUACCUUUGCUCAUUGACGUUACCCGCAGAAGAAGCACCGGCUAACUCCGUGCCAGCAGCCGCGGUAAUACGGAGGGUGCAAGCGUUAAUCGGAAUUACUGGGCGUAAAGCGCACGCAGGCGGUUUGUUAAGUCAGAUGAGAAAUCCCCGGGCUCAACCUGGGAACUGCAUCUGAUACUGGCAAGCUUGAGUCUCGUAGAGGGGGGUAGAAUUCCAGGUGUAGCGGUGAAAUGCGUAGAGAUCUGGAGGAAUACCGGUGGCGAAGGCGGCCCCCUGGACGAAGACUGACGCUCAGGUGCGAAAGCGUGGGGAGCAAACAGGAUUAGAUACCCUGGUAGUCCACGCCGUAAACGAUGUCGACUUGGAGGUUGUGCCCUUGAGGCGUGGCUUCCGGAGCUAACGCGUUAAGUCGACCGCCUGGGGAGUACGGCCGCAAGGUUAAAACUCAAAUGAAUUGACGGGGGCCCGCACAAGCGGUGGAGCAUGUGGUUUAAUUCGAUGCAACGCGAAGAACCUUACCUGGUCUUGACAUCCACGGAAGUUUUCAGAGAUGAGAAUGUGCCUUCGGGAACCGUGAGACAGGUGCUGCAUGGCUGUCGUCAGCUCGUGUUGUGAAAUGUUGGGUUAAGUCCCGCAACGAGCGCAACCCUUAUCCUUUGUUGCCAGCGGUCCGGCCGGGAACUCAAAGGAGACUGCCAGUGAUAAACUGGAGGAAGGUGGGGAUGACGUCAAGUCAUCAUGGCCCUUACGACCAGGGCUACACACGUGCUACAAUGGCGCAUACAAAGAGAAGCGACCUCGCGAGAGCAAGCGGACCUCAUAAAGUGCGUCGUAGUCCGGAUUGGAGUCUGCAACUCGACUCCAUGAAGUCGGAAUCGCUAGUAAUCGUGGAUCAGAAUGCCACGGUGAAUACGUUCCCGGGCCUUGCACUCACCGCCCGUCA
rnacentral:rRNA from 1 species